rnacentral:lncRNA from 1 species
CUUAGCUGUAAACUGUACCUGUUGAGCCUUCAUAUCGAUCACAAACUGUGCUUGUUGAGCCAUAAACUGCUUAAGCAUUUCCUCCAUAUUACUAUUCAAAGUAGUCGCCUGAUUGUUUUGAAUCGGCUGUGGAUUUGGUUGCACUGGUCCCUUAUACUGAUUUAAAUUGUGCGCUUGAUUUCCACCCCAUGAGAAAUUAGGGUGGUUCCUUCAAUUUGGAUUAUAUGUACUGCCAAAAU